CGAAAAACAAGAUGGCGGUCCAAAACUACAUGAGUUUUGCGAAGCAGAAAAAAGGAAAAUAUUCGCUUUGAGAGAGAUAAUAGUACAAGGAAAAACUCUCAAAAAAAUUUGACAGGUUAGCAAAAUACAUUUAAUACAUAGAAAUUAGUUUAAAUACAAGUUUUUUAAAGAAUUAAUACCGAAACAACAGCGAAAAAAAACAUGUUCAUUGAGAAUAUAAAUUGUUCAGAAAAGUUUGCAACGAAAGACAAAUGAAUUUGCAGUCAACAAGCAC